GUUGUUAAAGGUUACUGAACUAGAAAAACAAACCAUAUGCCGUGGCUGGUGCAUUCCUAAUUACAGACGAGACUGUGUUUAGAACAAUUGUUUUCGUACCUCAACACUUCUCUGCGCCCCCACCAGGAAGUGGGCUGUUUCUCCUUGGCCACUCAGAAGCGAGGAUUACUGACAAUCCAGCAAGUGCUCUCAGCUUUCUUUUCCAUCCCAAACUAAUAUGAAACCAUUUCUCAAGUAUCAGCUUUUCCAACAAAAGUCUUUAGCGACUGCCAUUGCACCAUAAAAGCCAACUCCCCAGACCUGACCCCGAGGUAUGUGCUCUCUCCCGAUCAGAUUCCAGCGGAGAAUUCCAGUCUGUUGCUGGUUUCAAGGGGAGGAUGGAACAUGGAAGCUGGGGCUGUUCCUGUCGAGCAGGAGCCUACAACUCCUCUCUCAGCUCCAAGUGAGACUGCUGUGUUGGCCAGGGUCAUCCUCUGCCAUCCAGGAACUUUGGUAUCCAGCUCCUCAAGAAAACUAGAGGCUCCUGAGUGAACUACCUGUGAUUUCAAGUUUCUUACCUGCUGGGAAUUCUCUGGGACCUAAUCAUUCCUAGGUAGGUAAGGUUUUAAUAAACGGACCAAAACAUGGCA
rnacentral:lncRNA from 12 species